UACAGAGGUCUCAAGCGUUUGUUCGGAUUCAUUGGGCGUAAAGGGUGCGUAGGCGGCGCGGUAAGUCGGAUGUGAAAUCUCGGAGCUUAACUCCGAAACUGCAUUCGAUACUGCCGUGCUUGAGGACUGGAGAGGAGACUGGAAUUUACGGUGUAGCGGUGAAAUGCGUAGAUAUCGUAAGGAAGACCAGUGGCGAAGGCGGGUCUCUGGACAGUUCCUGACGCUGAGGCACGAAGGUCAGGGGGAGCAAACGGGG
rnacentral:rRNA from 1 species